rnacentral:rRNA from 1 species
GAGUUUGAUCCUGGCUCAGGAUUAACGCUGGCGGCGUGCCUAAUACAUGCAAGUCGAACGGAAGUACCUUCGGGUACUUUAGUGGCGAACGGGUGAGUAAUACAUAGGUAACCUACCCUUAAGACGAGGAUAGCCAUUGGAAACGAUGGAUAAAACUGUAUAGGAUAUAGAGGAAGAAUCUUUUAUAUUUAAAAGAGAGAUCUGCUUAAGGAGGGGCCUGUGGCGCAUUAGCUAGUUGGUGGGGUUAGGGCCUACCAAGGCGAUGAUGCGUAGCCGGACUGAGAGGUUGAACGGCCACAAUGGAACUGAGAACGGUCCAUACUCCUACGGGAGGCAGCAGUAGGGAAUUUUCGGCGAUGGGGGGAACCCUGACCGAGCAACGCCGCGUGAACGAAGAAGUUAUUCGUAAUGUAAAGUUCUUUAUCAGGGAAGAAAGAGGAAUUGAC